UACGUAGGGGGCUAGCGUUGUCCGGAAUCAUUGGGCGUAAAGAGCGUGUAGGCGGUCCGGUAAGUCCGCUGUGAAAGUCGGGGGCUCAACCCUCGAAUGCCGGUGGAUACUGUCGGGCUAGAGUGCGGAAGAGGCGAGUGGAAUUCCUGGUGUAGCGGUGGAAAUGACGCAGAUAUCAGGAGGAACACCAAUGGCGAAGGCAGCUCGCUGGAACGGUACUGACGCUGGAGGCGACGAAAGCGUGGGGAGCGAACAGG
rnacentral:rRNA from 1 species